rnacentral:lncRNA from 1 species
GGAAGGAAAAAUGGGAGAGGCAUCCAGGCAAGAAACCUAGAGAAUCUGAAAACUGCGUGUCUGCUGAGCCAAGUGAAAAUGGCCAUAAUAACGAUGCGGGGAGCUCAGAGAGAGAGGCAGAAAGAGGCAAAGAACGCGUGAAGAAGAAACUCCCGCUGAAGUUAACCAAACAGAUGAAGGUCCCCACAAGCAGAAGUGGCAGAAAUAGCGAGGAGGACAGCAUCAGGGAGGCCACAAGCUCUCAGCGGAGCAGCUCCAGGGACCGCCUCAGUGAUUGUGACAGCGAGAGUGAUGUUGACG